rnacentral:rRNA from 1 species
GUGUCAGCCGCCGCGGUAAUACGAGGGGUCCUAGCGUUGUUCGGAAUCAUUGGGCGUAAAGCGUCUGUAGGUGGCUUUGUAAGUCGGGUGUGAAAGCCCCGGGCUCAACCCGGGAAGUGCAUUCGAUACUGCUCAGCUUGAGUGUUGGAGAGGAUAGUAGAAUUCCAGGUGUAGUGGUGAAAUACGUAGAUAUCUGGAGGAAUACCGGUGGCGAAGGCGGCUAUCUGGCCAAACACUGACACUGAGAGACGAAAGCAUGGGGAUCAAACAGGAUUAGAUACCCUGGUAGUCC